rnacentral:rRNA from 1 species
GGUUGCGAUCAUACCAGCACUAAUGCACCGGAUCCCAUCAGAACUCUGCAGUUAAGCGUGUUUGGGCGAGAGUAGUACUAGGAUGGGUGACCCCCUGGGAAGUCCUCGUGUUGCAACCCC